GGCCCCGUCGUCUAGCCCGGUCUAGGACACCUCCCUUUCACGGAGGUAACGCGGGUUCGAAUCCCGCCGGGGUCA
rnacentral:tRNA from 1 species